GAUGAACGCUAGCUACAGGCCUAACACAUGCCAGUCGAGGGACCGGCGCACGGGUGAGGAACACGUAUCCAACCUGUCCUUUACUCGGGGAUACCCUUACGAAAGCAAGAUUACUACCCGUUGUAAAGGAUGGGGAUGCGUUCCAUUAGGUUGUUGGUGAGGUAACGGCUCACCACGCAUUCGAUGGAUCGGGGUUCUGAUAGGAAGGGCACCCACAUGGGAACUGAGACACGGGCCAAACUCCGACGGGAGGCAGAAGUGAGGAAUAUUGGUCAAAGGGCGUUAGCCUGAACCAGCCAAGUAGCGUGAAGGAUGAAGGCUUAUGGGUCGUAAACUUCUUUUAUAUAAGAAUAUGUAUUAUAUGAAUAAGGAUCGGCUAACUCCGUGCCAGCCGCCGCGGUAAUAC
rnacentral:rRNA from 1 species